CCUACGGGUGGCAGCAGUGGGGAAUAUUGGGCAAUGGGCGCAAGCCUGACCCAGCAACGCCGCGUGAAGGAAGAAGGCUUUCGGGUUGUAAACUUCUUUUGUCAGGGACGAAGCACGUGACGGUCCCUGACGACUAAGCCACGGCUAACUACGUGCCAGCAGCCGCGGUACUACGUAGGUGGCAAGCGUUAUCCGGAUUUACUGGGUGUAAAGGGCGUGUAGGCGGGGAAGUAAGUCAGAUGUGAAAACCACGGGCUCAACCUGUGGCCUGCAUUUGAAACUGUUGUUCUUGAGUGCUGGAGAGGCAAUCGGAAUUCCGUGUGUAGCGGUGAAAUGCGUAGAUAUACGGAGGAACACCAGUGGCGAAGGCGGAUUGCUGGACAGUAACUGACGCUGAGGCGCGAAAGCGUGGGGAGCAAACAGGAUUAGAUACCCCUGUAGUC
rnacentral:rRNA from 1 species